AUAUUGGACAAUGGGCGAAAGCCUGAUUCAGCCAUGCCGCGUGGAUGAUGACGGCCCUNGGGUUGNANAGUCCUUUCGACGGGGANGAUAAUGACGGUACCCGUAGAAUAAGCCCCGGCUAACUUCGUGCCAGCAGCCGCGGUAAUACGAAGGGGGCUAGCGUUGCUCGGAAUCACUGGGCGUAAAGCGCACGUAGGCGGCUUUUUAAGUCAGGGGUGAAAUACUGGAGCUCAACUCCAGAACUGCCUUUGAUGCUGGAGAGCUUGAGUUCGGGAGAGGUGAGUGGAACUGCGAGUGUAGAGGUGAAAUUCGUAGAUAUUCGCAAGAACACCAGUGGCGAAGGCGGCUCACUGGCCCGAUACUGACGCUGAGGUGCGAAAGCGUGGGGAGCAAACAGG
rnacentral:rRNA from 1 species